UACGAAGGGAGCUAGCGUUGUUCGGAAUCACUGGGCGUAAAGCGCACGUAGGCGGAUGUGUCAGUCAGGGGUGAAAUCCCGGAGCUUAACUCCGAAACUGCAUUCGAUACUGCCGUGCUUGAGGACUGGAGAGGAGACUGGAAUUUACGGUGUAGCGGUGAAAUGCGUAGAUAUCGUAAGGAAGACCAGUGGCGAAGGCGGGUCUCUGGACAGUUCCUGACGCUGAGGCACGAAAGCGUGGGGAGCAAACAGG
rnacentral:rRNA from 1 species